rnacentral:rRNA from 1 species
UACGGAGGGGGUUAGCGUUGUUCGGAAUGACUGGGCGUAAAGCGCGCGUAGGCGGAUCAGGAAGUUGGGGGUGAAAUCCCGGGGCUCAACCCCGGAAUGGCCUUCAAAACUCCUGGUCUUGAGUUCGAGAGAGGUGAGAGGAAUUCCGAGUGUAGAGGUGAAAUUCGUAGAUAUUCGGAGGAACACCAGUGGCGAAGGCGGCUCACUGGCUCGACACUGACGCUGAGGUGCGAAAGCGUGGGGAGCAAACAGG